UAGAGGAAGUAAAAGUCGUAACAAGGUUUCCGUAGGUGAACCUGCGGAAGGAUCAUUAUUGAAUAAACCUGAUGUGACUGUUAGCUGGCUUUUCGAAGCAUGUGCUCGUCCGUCAUCUUUAAUCUCUCCACCUGUGCACAUUUUGUAGUCUUGGAUACCCCUCGAGGCAACUCGGAUUUUAGGAUCGCCGUGCUGUAAAAGUCAGCUUUCCUCUCAUUUCCAAGACUAUGUUUUUAUAUACACCAAAGUAUGUUUAAAGAAUGUCAUCAAUAGGAACUUGUUUCCUAUAAAAUUAUACAACUUUCAGCAACGGAUCUCUUGGCUCUCGCAUCGAUGAAGAACGCAGCGAAAUGCGAUAAGUAAUGUGAAUUGCAGAAUUCAGUGAAUCAUCGAAUCUUUGAACGCACCUUGCGCUCCUUGGUAUUCCGAGGAGCAUGCCUGUUUGAGUGUCAUUAAAUUCUCAACCUUCCAGCUUUUAUUAGCUUGGUUAGGCUUGGAUGUGGGGGUUGUGGGCUUCAUUAAUGAGGUCAGCUCUCCUUAAAUGCAUUAGCGGAACUUUUGUGGACCGUCUAUUGGUGUGAUAAUUAUCUACGCCGUGGAUGUGAAGCAGCUUUAUGAAGUUCAGCUUCUAAUCGUCCAUUGACUUGGACAAUUUUUGACAAUUUGACCUCAAAUCAGGUAGGACUACCCGCUGAACUUAAGCAUAUCAAU
rnacentral:rRNA from 1 species